CACUCAUUAGGAUGUCAGAAACCUAAACCUAAUAGUCGUGACAUCAAAAAGAAAAAACAGAGAGAUAUAAAACAUAAGCCGCAAGCGCCGCCAACUCAUUCCUUACAAAGAGAUCAAGAAAAGAGCCACUUUGGUGAAACACAAAAGUUGUGUUUGAUCCAGAGGUCUGAAUCUGCUGUUACACUGAUGGGGUUCGUAGAUCUCUGCUGUUAGAUUGAUUCAACAUCCUGUCACACCUAAAGUACCUUUGAUGAGACGGUGUCUCGUCUCAACCUCUCUGUUUUUGGUCAUUGGAAUACAUGCGGCUGUUUUCAAGUUGAAACGUCAUGGCUUUGUGAUUUUUCUCUCCAAGCGAAUGGUGAUACUCAAACUAUCCAUAUUCUAUAUAUACUGGGAAAGUCGAGUCUUGAGAUGAUGAAGCUUUGUUUGUUUUCUAGCACCAGUAGCUUGAAACACUUGGUUUUAUGGAUUUUAUCUCAUAUGGAAGAUUUAUGUGGGAUAGUUUGAGUUGAUCAGAUGGUAGAAAUGGGAUAUAGAUCUAUGUUUUAACCUAGAUUUAGUUGAUCGAAUGGUAGAAACAAGGUCAUCAAAUCCUGUAUAGGUAUUCGAGUAUAUGCAAAAGAGUAUGCAAAAGAGUAAGAUGGAUUUUGAUAAAUCAUUAAGAUAGUUGACAUAUAUGAGUAUAUGCAAAAGAGUGAAAUGAAUUCUGAUAUAUUUGUAGUAGUAGACAUAUUCUAGGAUAUGCAAAAGAGUGAUACAUGGGUUGUGAUGAAGGAAAUUAUAAAAGACAAGUGAUUUUGCAAGAAAGAAGAUGCGGAAGCUAAGAUGUGUAUGUGAGUGUGUCUAGGAGAUCAAUACAUGAGUGAUGAGUUCUUCACUUGUAAUUUUCUCUAAUCAUUGUACUGGUCUUUUGGCCGAGUCUUAUGUUGUAUGAAGUUUCAUUAUUUAUAGCAACAUUUCUUUUCUUUUUUUUUGUUCAUUAUUUAUACCUUUCACUGCUCAAUCAAUAACCAGUUUCGUCGCUA